UCUUUGAAUAUUUAUAAAUCCUUCUUUGUAAAUGCUUGUUUAAAAUCUUCUUAUUUGCUCAUUUGUUUUGGCUAAGAAAUUUUACAUUUUCAAAAAGUGUUUUAAAACCUUAGAUUGCCUCUUGUGUUCUUCAUUAGAAACCCUAGCUACAAAACCGUGUUCAUGCAUUAAACACUCACUCAUUGUAGAAUAGGGUUGCAUUGUUCUUCUUGGUUUUAUUUUAUUUUUGUGGUCAAGUUCUUCAAGUUUCAAAUCUUUAAACUUACCCAUUUUGGAUUCUCGUCAGUUUCUUCUUUCAUCUGUUUGAUCGGAGAAACUGACUGGUUGUUGAAUCCAGAUUUUAUAUGCAUAUCAUAACAUCAUAUCAUUUCGUGAUUUGAGUUUAUAUAGGUGCCACAAGGUGAAGAGCUUAGGAGGAGCUGCCACUUCGUGAAGAUCGAAGGAGUUCAUCUCGAGUAAGGCAAGGUUGCAUAAAUGUAAAACUGCUUCGUAGAUAGGGAUUUAAGAAUUGAGCUUGUGUGGUCAUUGUAUGAACUUUGUUUACACUAGUGGAUUGGAUUCAGCGGAGAGUUCUCGAUUUUUUAGUCCAGAGGCGAGGCUUAUACGGACGAUGAGCAAAGUUAAGGGAGGCUCGGGGGCUACGACCCUUCGACAUAUCUGUUCGAGAUAGAGCAGAGCUUUGGUGGCCACGAGGAAUUCAACGGUGUUCUGACAGAAUUUCACAAACGUAGGUUUCACUUUCGGGUAUUAUACCUUAGUAUUUAUGUCUUUAAAGCUUCCGAACCGUGUAAAUGGUUACGUCACUCUCACAUGACGACCAGCAUACCCUCCUUCGGGACGGGGUGUGUCAUUGAAUUUCAGAUAAUCAUUUAAAAUCCUGAUUGAAUA